rnacentral:lncRNA from 1 species
AGAAACCUAUAUAUGCAUGUCGAAGCAAGAGCUGGCUUUAAUUCUAACCCAUGAUAUAUGGAGGGUCGGCCUGCAGGCUGCAGAUAUACAGAUAACAACUGAUCAUCCAUCCAUUUCUCCACCCCUUCACACUACUGGAUUAUAUAGUUAUUAUUCACUCAGGCCUACACAUUUUAUAUACACACAUAUAUAUAGUUCACACAAGCCAUAACAAAUUAAUUGCAUGACUAGCCGAAUAGACAAUAAUUAAUGUUGCUGGGUUUGUAAUUAAUGGACAUGUCGAUGCAAUCAAUCAACGAUUCUAUAUGGAUAAGUAUUUCGAUUAUCUAAGAUCAAAUCUGUUAUACUAUUUUUUUCGGGGAAAUUACAAAUUAACUGGAGUAUAACAUCGGGAAAUUUAGUGUUAUUAAGAAAAUAUAUGGAGCUAUCAGAUUUUUAGAGUAAAAUUUUGGUACCUCGAGUACUGAUAUCUUAAUAUACCAUUUUAAGAACGGUAAACAAACUCAUUCAUGAAUAUCCAUUAAUUGCUAGCUAGCUAGCUAUUAGUUGAAAACCAACACUAUAGAGAGAUAAAUGAAAGGCCUAGAGAGAGAAAGCAAGUUGCUAAUUAACAGUUACCUUGAUCACGAUCGAUCGAUGCUGAGAAAACUGGGCGGCCGGGAUCGAGUGAAGUAACGUACUAAGGCAUGCGUAGAAUCGAAACAAUCUAAGAAGUGGAUGCAAGACGAUGCUUGGGCCUUGGAGGAAUGGGGAGGA